AUUGAACGCUAGCGGGAUGCUUUACACAUGCAAGUCGAACGGCAGCGCGGACUUCGGUCUGGCGGCGAGUGGCGCACGGGUGAGUAAUGUAUCGGAACGUGCCCAGUAGCGGGGGAUAACUACGCGAAAGCGUAGCUAAUACCGCAUACGCCCUACGGGGGAAAGCAGGGGAUCGUAAGACCUUGCACUAUUGGAGCGGCCGAUAUCGGAUUAGCUAGUUGGUGAGGUAACGGCUCACCACGGCGACGAUCGGUAGCUGGUUUGAGAGGACGACCAGCCACACUGGGACUGAGACACGGCCCAGACUCCUACGGGAGGCAGCAGUGGGGAAUUUUGGACAAUGAGGGCAACCCUGAUCCAGCCAUCCCGCGUGUGCGAUGAAGGCCUUCGGGUUGUAAAGCACGUUUGGCAGGAAAGAAACGUCGCGGGCUAAUACCCCGUGGAACUGACGGUACCUGCAGAAUAAGCACCGGCUAACUACGUG
rnacentral:rRNA from 1 species